CCGUCACCUAAAUAAUAAUUAUUUAAUUUCCAGUUUAGAAGAAGCACAUGGUUUUUUUUUAUAAUGUAGCAUCCAACAUUCUUUUAGGGGCACAGUGUUUGAUUUUCUUUUGGGAAAAAGUGCUGGAAUUUUCUUUUAGUUUAGUUGCAUUUUUAUAUUUUACAUAUUAAUUUACAUUCAUCAAUUCUGGGCCAUUUUAUUUUACUGUUAGCAUAUUUUAGUUUGUUGAUAUGCGUUGGUGGAUGAUUAUAAUGUGCACUUUUAUGUUUAGCUUAAGUGUUGCAUAUUUUUUUUUUAUUUCCGUUGCUUUGUGUUUCAAUUGGUUAAGGCUUUGUUUCUUUGAAUUUUAAUUCCAAACUGCAAUGUGCAUUUUAUUUUUAGGUAAGUGUUUCUUUAUUAUUUGUUGCAUUUUAAUUAGUUCAUACAUCUUGCUUUAGGAUCGUUCAAUUUACUCUUUUCAUGCUACCUACUAUGUUUAGUUUACUUUUUCCUUUGACUAUGCUCUUUACUCUGUUUGGUUUCUUUAUCUUCAUGCAUUUUGAAUUUCCUCACUUGCUUUAGAGACCGUUCGAUCUCAAUGUAGAACUGUUCGGUCUUCAUGCUUUGUUCAUUUAUUUCGAUGUUUUUAAUUAUGUUUAGUUGUAUUUGAUUUCCAGUUUUAAUAUAGUUUAAUUCUCCUUGCAAAAACACUUUCAACCCCCCC
rnacentral:lncRNA from 1 species